rnacentral:tRNA from 1 species
AAGGGAGACCUAAUUCCGGUAGGAGACGAAAAAAAAGUAGUCCCAACCAAGAAUCAAUCCCAAAAGGUCGGAACGAGGUAUGAGGCUUUCAAACUAGGUUCUGGGUUCAUAAAAGACCUGAAUCAGGAACAAGGGCUAUUAGCUCAGGUGGUUAGAGCGCACCCCUGAUAAGGGUGAGGUCCCUGGUUCGAGUCCAGGAUGGCCCACCUGCACAGGUGGCAAAAACAAGAGAAGCUCCGAAUCAGCACCUUAUCUUAUAUACAUAUAUAAGAGAGAAUGCUGGCUCUGAGUAAAGAGUCCAGAGGAACCUUGAAAACUGCAUAGAGCUAGGUGAAAAAGCCAAAAAAGAAGACCGCAG